GACGAACGCUGGCGGCGUGCUUAACACAUGCAAGUCGAACGCAGUGGCUAACGGGUGAGUAACGCGUAAUCAACCUGCCCUUCCGAGGGGGACAACAGUUGGAAACGUCUGCUAAUACCGCAUCCUGCAGGAGGGGAUUGCGUCUGAUUAGCUCGUUGGAGGGGUAACGGCCCACCAAGGCGAUGAUCGGUAGCGGGUCUGGGAGGGUGAACGGCCACAGUGGGACUGAGACACGGCCCAGACGCCUACGGGAGGCAGCAGUGGGGAAUCUUCCGCAAUGGACGAAAGUCUGACGGAGCAACGCCGCGUGAGGGAUGACGGCCUUCGGGUUGUAAAGCUCUGUUAAUCGGGACGCGGUACCGGAAUAGAAAGCCACGGCUAACUACGUGCCAGCAGCCGCGGUAAUUC
rnacentral:rRNA from 1 species